UAAUGAACCAGACAACCUGGAUUUGACUGCAAAACUCAUAUAUUUACUUUUCUAACUAUCUAGUAUCAAUGAUAGAUAUAUUAGAAUGAAUGUUAUAUGAAAAUAUCUUACAUGUGUAAUAUAUUCAAAUUUUUUUUAAAAAAGAGCCGAAAAUAUGCGUAAAUAGAAAAAAUUAUAAAAAAAUAUAAAAUGACAACAACAAUCUGUAAAAUGUACAUUAAUAUCUUAUAUUAUGAUUAACACAUCAUAUUCUACCAUUCAAACAACAAAACAUUGAAUAAAAAAUAUAAAUACUUAUUUUUGAGGAAUUUCUGGAAAAUGGCCCACGGAGCUUCGAAUCAAGAAAAUCCUUAAUAUAAGUUGUUUUUAUCUGUAAUAUCAAGCUAAGAGUGGUCGAAAAUAGCAAUAGAAUGAUUUAGGAAGAGUUUGGAAGAAAGAAGUUUCAAAAAAAGUGAAAAAACAGACCUUAAAAAGCAAAAAAAUAAAAA